AAGUCGGACGCUCCACCGACUGAGUCACCCAGUUGGCCUCUAUUGCCUCUCCUAUUCAAACCAUCAGUCACCAGAGAAUAUACGUGAGAAGUACCAAAUGGGAAAAUCACUUGGAAGGUAGUUACAAUACUUCAGUUGGAUAGGGGGAUGCAGUUCCAAGGAGGUUCUAGAGAGAAGACAAAAUCAUGAGAAGAUUCUGGUUCCCCAAGUCAUCCCUGAAGAAUAACCCAGGGAAGUUGACACCAGGAGAUAUUCAGUCAACUUCCAUGGUUACAGAGCAAGAAGCAGCAGAGCUUGGAUGAAAAUAGGCAGUCUCUCUCCGGAGCCUACAGAACAAAAGCCAAUGGAGUCACUACUCAGUACAUCCUAGACACUGUCCCAGGUAAUGGAGACACAGAGAGUAAGGAGAGUGCCUGACUUGGAAGAGCUCACAGUGAACUGGAGACACAAAUGAAAAUCCAACUCCUAAGGAUCACAACCAGCUUAGGAACAGAAUCGUCCAACAUCCAUUUCCUAUGCCCGGGAACCGUUGUGGAGUUCAAGGAAGCAAAUUCUACACUCUUCAAGCUUAAGCCCUGUUUCCCUAAGUGCUGCAAAAGUCUCUUUGGCCCACCCUAAUUGUUGCUUUCUUGGCUAACCAUGCCAUCCUGUAUUUUACUGGGUGUCUUAUACCCAGAUCUCCUUUCCUGACCAAUCAAGCUACAGCCAACUAUGGUGAGCCAGGUCUGAAGCCCAAGAGCU